rnacentral:rRNA from 1 species
UACGUAGGGGGGCUAGCGUUGUCCGGAAUCAUUGGGCGUAAAGGGCGCGUAGGCGGCCUCUGCAAGUCGACUGUGAAAUCUCCGGGCUUAACCCGGAAAGGUCAGCCGAUACUGCAGGGCUAGAGUGCAGAAGGGGCAACUGGAAUUCUCGGUGUAGCGGUGAAAUGCGUAGAUAUCGAGAGGAACACCUGCGGCGAAGGCGGGUGCUGGGCUGACACUGACGCUGAAGUGCGAAAGCUAGGGGAGCGAACGGG